UAUGAUGAUGAUAAUGCUCUGAAUAGGAAGUGCCAUCAGAUGCAAUAAAGGAUGAUACUUUACAUUCUGACU